GUGGGUAGUUUGACUGGGGCGGUCUCCUCCUAAAGAGUAACGGAGGAGCACGAAGGUUGGCUAAUCCUGGUCGGACAUCAGGAGGUUAGUGCAAUGGCAUAAGCCAGCUUGACUGCGAGCGUGACGGCGCGAGCAGGUGCGAAAGCAGGUCAUAGUGAUCCGGUGGUUCUGAAUGGAAGGGCCAUCGCUCAACGGAUAAAAGGUACUCCGGGGAUAACAGGCUGAUACCGCCCAAGAGUUCAUAUCGACGGCGGUGUUUGGCACCUCGAUGUCGGCUCAUCACAUCCUGGGGCUGAAGUAGGUCCCAAGGGUAUGGCUGUUCGCCAUUUAAAGUGGUACGCGAGCUGGGUUUAGAACGUCGUGAGACAGUUCGGUCCCUAUCUGCCGUGGGCGCUGGAGAACUGAGGGGGGCUGCUCCUAGUACGAGAGGACCGGAGUGGACGCAUCACUGGUGUUCGGGUUGUCAUGCCAAUGGCACUGCCCGGUAGCUAAAUGCGG
rnacentral:rRNA from 2 species